GAAAUAACUGGUGCCCACCAGGCUAAAAGACAACCAAAUUCAUCUCUCUUAAAGCAAGGGCACAAAGAGGUUUAUCAGAGUGAUGUUGAUGUAGACAAAGCUGUUGACGAGGCACUACAUGAACCAAAAGCAGAACAGGAAGAGAGCAGAUCCAAACAAUCCUCUCCAUCAACUCAAAGCAAAACAAGUUCCACAAAGGAUUCUUACAAUGAAAUCUCCAAACAAGCAUCAGGUCACCCACAACUAGAAGAAGAAGAAGAAGAAACUCAAUUGGUCCCCAGGUCAGCCUUAACGAAGCAUACAGAAGCCCAAGUUGAGAAACACUUAAAAGCAUCAACCUCUCAUCCUACUACACUUGAAAUGUCAUCAGUUGCAGUAGCUAGUCCAACAUCUGAAACUACUGGAUUAAAUGCUCAACCAAUGGUAAAGCAUGAAGAGAGUUCUCCGGAGCCUAUUGACAGUGAGGAUGAUGAUAUGGAGUCCUUUUACACUUCCUUGGGAGCCAAUUCUGAAACUCUUCAGCCUGCAUCCAGCAGUGUAACAACAAAUGUCCAGUCCAGGCCAGGUCAAUCUGACAUAGACAAGGCAUUGGACCUUGUUAAAAAUGUACUAGUAGCUGACUUCUCUUCUGCCUGUCAUCCUGGCCAUUCCAUUUCUUUAAAUUCAGCAUUAGAAUUGUUGUGUGACUUGGAUGAAAAUGAUGGCUUCUCUGAUAAAAUGAAAUCCCUAGUGCUUCAACUCUCAAAGGACUUCAAAGAUCUGAAAAGUUGAUUCUGCCAAGCCAGUGACACCAUCGAAAAGUGCACCAAUCUGAUCAAGCCUAUGGCUGAGAUAGCAUCUCAACUGGAUGAGAAUAAAGAAAAGUACUUGAAGCUCAAAUCAGUUAUUAUUGAGGCUGAAGCACAGAUACAACACAUGCAUGACAUGCAAACAACAGUUGGAAAGAGUAUCUCUGGAGACGAAGGACAAAUAAAUGAGCUAAAACAAAAAAUAGAUUCUUUGAUGAAACAAAAGGGAAAGGCAAAGCAGGAGAAGAAAACAAUCUACGAUGAUGGAAAGAAGCUGAAGGAAAAGUAUGAUGUGGCAGCUAAUGCAGAGGAGGAGAAGAAGACAGCUCAGUAGAUCAAGAGGAAGAUUGAAGAAAAGUGGUCACACUACAAUAAUCAGUUCAAGAGCUUUACAUGCAGUGGAGGAAUCAGCAUGGAUGAUAUAGGCCAGGCUGAAGAAACAACCAAAUUAAUUCAUUUUGCUUAAUGCAACGGUAAAAGGGUAAAUGCACAUUAUCUUCUGUUGUACAUAAUUUUGUGCUUGUGUGUGUGUGUGAGAGAGAGAGAGAGAGAGAGAGAGAGAGAGAGAGAGAUUCAUGUUGAAAGGGGGGCUGCUUCAAAAAUGUUUGGAGGACUAAAUUCAAAAGUGAGGAUGCUGGUGCCAACAUAACCAUCUUCUAUGAGCAUAAGAUGGUGCAGGCUCAUCAUAGCAUAUAACACUGAAAGAAGUUGUGCACAUCCAACAUUACACUAUUCAUGUGCAAUAUUAAGCAGCUGCAGCUUAGAAGAGCAGAUAUUGUUCAAGUUGUUAGUUUGGUAUUGUUUUGUGAUUGUAUUGU